rnacentral:rRNA from 6 species
AACGACUCUCGGCAACGGAUAUCUCGGCUCACGCAUCGAUGAAGAACGUAGCAAAAUGCGAUACUUGGUGUGAAUUGCAGAAUCCCGUGAACCAUCGAGUUUUUGAACGCAAGUUGCGCCCGAAGCCAUUCGGCUGAGGGCACGUCUGCCUGGGCGUCACGCAU